rnacentral:tRNA from 1 species
UCGGGAUAGCUCAGCCGGUAGAGCAAAGGACUGAAA